AUGCAAGAUCUCCCGUCUGUAUCUCUGUGCUGCAGCUGCCACAAUAACCUUCAGAGAAGGAUUCUCCUACAUCUUACAACAGCAGCAUGACAUAUGGAGCUGAAACCCGCAGGAAGCAUGCCUCAUCAUCCAUGGCCAUGGGCUCAGUUAAAGACUCAACCUCUCACAUUUAAGGCAGUGGCUUUUUGGCCUCACCUGCUGCCCACGGUUUGCUCCCAGGUCCACGUGUGCUGCUGGGGAGCCUCAGCCACAGAAGCAGCUCCAUAG
rnacentral:lncRNA from 1 species